rnacentral:lncRNA from 1 species
UUUAGAACUGGUUUCCAAGUUAGAAAAGAAAAUGUUUCAUGUUUAAAUGUCAAUUCUUGGAUUCAGGCUUUACUCUACACGUCUUUAUUAAAGGCCUAUGGCUUAACACGAGAGACCCACGGUUCCUAACGUCCACAUAAAUGAGAACAGGUGCACCCAUGAAACAGCAUGGCUGAUGAAGCGGGGGAGUGGCUCUGGCCUGGAGUAACAGCACUUCAUCCUGCCGGCAGCCCCACCACCAACUCACGGAGUGCCUUUGAGGAAGUGGCUUCAUCACCCUUGGGCCUCGGUUUCCUCACCCACACAGUGAAGAGAUUGAAUGAGAUUUUCUGCCUACUCUGAAUUCAAUCAAGAGGUAGCUUCACAGAGACUGUGAAACAGAUCAUGGAAAGAAACUGAUUUUACCAUGUGCGAAGUUAAAGGGAACCACGUAUCACUCAGCGCACGGUGGCUCACGCCUGUAAUCCCAGCACUGUGGGAGGCCGAGGUGGGCGGAUCAUGGUCAAGAGCUCGAGACCAUACUGGCCAACAUGGUGAAAACCCAUCUCUACUAAAAAUACAAAAAUUAGCUGGGCAUGGUGGCACGCACCUGUAGUCCCAGCUACUCGGGAGGCUGAGGCAAGAGAAUCGCUUGAACCCGAGAGGCAGAGGUUGCAGUGAGCCAAGACUGGGCCACUGCACUCUAGCCUGGAGACAGAGUGAGACUCCAUCUCAGAAAAAAAAAAAAAAAAAAAAAUGAAAACUCCAGCCGGGCACGGUGGCUCACACCUGUAAUCCCAGCACUUUGGAAGGCUGAGGCAGGUGGAUCACCUGAGGUCGGGAGUGCGAGACCAGCCAUGACCAACAUGGAGAAACCGCGUCUCUACUGAAAAUACAAAAUUAGCCAGGCGUGGUGGUGCAUGCCUGUAAUCCUAGCUACUGGGGAGGCUGAGGCAGGACAAUCGCUUGAACCUGGGAGGCGGAGGUUGCGGUGAGCCAAGAUUGCGCUAUUGCACUCCAGCCUGGAACUCAAUCUCAAAAAAAUAAAAAAUAAUAAAUGAAAACUCCACUGACCCUUUCAAUAUGUGGGCAAAUCAAUGUUAGAUGCUAGUCUAAAUCAGAGGUCAGCAAACCCUUUCUGCAGAGGGCCAGAAAAUAGUUUUGGCUUGUCAAGUCAAAUGGUUUCAGGUGCAACUAUUGAACUCUGCCGUUUUGCAAAAGCAGUCAGACAAUACAUACGCACAUAAGCACGGCUGUGUUCCGCUGAAACUUUAUUUAUGGACACUAGAAUUUAAACUUCAUAUAAUCUUCAAACAGAUGGUGGGCUG